rnacentral:tRNA from 2 species
AGGUAAAAGGCUAUUAGCAUCUGACUACGGAUCAGAAGGUUGGGGGUUCGAAUCCCUCCGGGC